rnacentral:lncRNA from 15 species
AUUUAACUCAAUGUACAUACAUUAACCAACAGCAAAGUUACAAUUUACCAGAAAACAUUUAAUUAUAAUACCAAAUCUCUCUCACCACCAUAAAAAACUAUAUACAAUAGGUUAAACAGCGACACCUUCUUGGUACUCAGCUACCCAGCAUUGGUGAUAUUGGUGAGGUGAGGGGCCUGCAGGAGCCCAAAGGACACUGAAGGACAGCACCUACCCAGCCACAGCCUGUUCACCCUGCUGCAUUCUGGGAAGAGGUACAGAAGCUCCCACUGCCGUACCACCAGACUACAGAGCAGCUUCUUCCCUCAGGCAGUGAGGCUGUUACAUUCUUCCUCAACAAUAAAUCAUACAAAUGAUUCAUUUAUGUAUUUUUUGUCAUUUAUCCUCAUGUCCUCAAUGUCAUUGUCAUUAAUAAUUUUUUUCAAAGUAGCAUAAAGGGAACUAUAUCUAAAUCUAAUUCUACAGCUUUUGUGUUGUAACAUUGAGGUCAUAAAAGAUUGUAAACAAUAAAAUAAACUUAAAUCCUUGCUUGUCGCCUUUGUAACUGUUACCAUGGUUACAGAACCUGAGCUUUGAAUCUGCCUUUUUGUGUGGAGUUGACAUGUUAUCCUCGUGUCUCUGAGGGUUCCACUCUGAGUCCAAACACAUGCUGCUUUUCAGAGACCAAAAGGUGUGACUGCGUCUGUCCCUCAGUCUGUGUCCGCCCUCUGGCUGUGAUAGUGACCGGUCCAGGUGAACCCCAAUCAGAGAGAAAACCACAGCACUGAUACAUAAAGAGGAAGGAGGUGGGCUUUACUCAGUGUGACUGCUGAACUCUAAUGUGCUGAUCUCAGAUGGCCAAGAUCUAAAAUGGAGGAAUCCUCUUUACAGUGGCUGCUGGUUCUGACCUCACUGCUGAGCUGCCCAACAAACCAAGCCUCUCUGACUGUGAGUCCCAGCAGCUCUCAGAUGUUUAAAGGACAGUCUGUCUCUCUGAGCUGUGAGGAGGACGACAGCUCUGCUGGAUGGACACUGAGGAGGAACACAACCAGAGACACCAGGACUCAGUGUGACGACUGGGGAGAACCAGCUGGUUCUUCUUGUAACAUCAGCCCCAUUGCCACAUGGGACAGUGGAGUUUACUGGUGUGAGUCCAGAGAGGGAGCAACCAGUAACACCAUCAACAUCAGUGUCACUGGUAAGAUCAGACUGCUGUAACUCCCUGCA